GUGGGGGAUAUUGCGCAAUGGGGGGAACCCUGACGCAGCAACGCCGCGUGAAGGAAGAAGGUCUUCGGAUCGUAAACUUUUGUCUUCAGGGACGAUAAUGACGGUACCUGGGGAGGAAGCCACGGCUAACUACGUGCCAGCAGCCGCGGUAAUACGUAGGUGGCGAGCGUUGUCCGGAUUUACUGGGUGUAAAGGGCGUGUAGGCGGGAUGGCAAGUCAGAUGUGAAAUACCAAGGCUCAACCUUGGGGGUGCAUUUGAAACUGUUAUUCUUGAGUGUCGGAGAGGAAAGCGGAAUUCCUAGUGUAGCGGUGAAAUGCGUAGAUAUUAGGAGGAACACCAGUGGCGAAGGCGGCUUUCUGGACGAUAACUGACGCUGAGGCGCGAAAGCGUGGGUAGCAAACAGGAUUAGAAACCCCAGUAGUCC
rnacentral:rRNA from 1 species